rnacentral:rRNA from 1 species
GACGAACCGUCCAAACGUUAUUCGGAAUCACUGGGCUUAAAGGGUGCGUAGGCGGCUCUGAAAGUUGGGUGUGAAAGCCCUCGGCUCAACCGAGGAAUUGCGCCCAAAACUACAGAGCUAGAGGAAGACAGAGGUGAGCGGAACUUAGGGUGGAGCGGUGAUAUGCGUUGAGAUCCUAAGGAACACCAGUAGCGAAAGCGGCUCACUGGGUCUUUUCUGACGCUGAGUGCACGAAAGCUAGGGGAGCGAAGAGGAUUAGAUACCCUCGUAGUCCUAGCCUUAAACGAUGAGCACUUGUUUGGAGGCUCCUCCAUAGGCUUCCAGACGUAGCGAAAGUGUUAAGUGCUCCGCCUGGGGAGUAUGGUCGCAAGGCUGAA